CCUGGAAGCAUCUCCAUUUUGUCCUCAGCUGGCUCAAGAGAUGGCCUCUUCACCCCAAAGAUAUGCUUGAAAGAAACUGGAACAAAGGACUGUAACUACGGGGGUGUGAGUUAUUGCUGGGCCCAGGCCAUAAACUACAAUGUUGGUAUAAAAAGGAUUGGGCCCAGACUAGAAAGGAGUCUAGUCUGUGAAAGAAGAAUAUUGGAAC